GGUCCGGAGAUGACGGUCCCCUAGCUCUUGACUCUGGGGAGAGAUGGCGGGUUGGAGAAAAAUUCCACUGCCAGGAAUCGAACGUGUGCCACAGUUGUAACCCGCAUCGCAGCAGUGACAACACCAGAUCAUUAACCCACUGAGCCACCAGGGAAUUCCUGUGAAUUGAUAUUUGUAAAGCAUUUAAAUGUCUGCCAGGCAUGAAUCAAGCAUCACACAGGGCGGAGGCAGGGGGCGAUAAGUGGGCUGGCGGCUCUCCUUCCUGGCAAGAACCACAGCUGUCACCGAGAGAGGCUUGGAUACAUUCUGUGAGCAAUUGUCUUUGAAUGCUGAUUUUUUUUAUUAAAAUGUUUUAUUUUUGCUUUUA